rnacentral:rRNA from 1 species
CCUGGGGUAAGCAUGUAGGGCGGAACGUAGGUAAAUCCGCGUUCUAUUCAGCCUGAGAUGUGAUGCCGAGCCGAUUGUGGUGAAGUGGAUGAUCCUAUGCUGCCGAGAAAAGCCUCUAGUGAGUGUUGUGGCGGCCCGUACCCUAAACCGACUCAGGUGGUCAGGUAGAGAAUACCAAGGCGAUCGGGUGAACUGUGGUUAAGGAACUCGGCAAAUUGCCCCCGUAACUUCGGGAGAAGGGGGACCUCUGCUGGUGAUGGGCUUUACGUUCUGAGCUGGUGGGGGUCGCAGUGGCCAGGGGGAAGCGACUGUUUACUAAAAACACAGGUCCGUGCGAAGUCGUAAGACGAUGUAUACGGACUGACGCCUGCCCGGUGCCGGAACGUUAAGGGGACCGCUUAGCCAGCUUCGGUUGGCGAAGGUGAGAACUUAAGCGCCGGUAAACGGCGGUGGUAACUAUAACCAUCCUAAGGUAGCGAAAUUCCUUGUCGGGUAAGUUCCGACCUGCACGAAUGGCGUAACGACUUCCCCGCUGUCUCAACCACAGACCCGGCGAAAUUGCACUACGAGUAAAGAUGCUCGUUUCGCGCAGCAGGACGGAAAGACCCCGGGACCUUCACUACAGCUUGACAUUGGCGUUUGGAACGUCUUGUGUAGGAUAGGUGGGAGACUGGGAAGCUGUCACGCUAGUGAUGGUGGAGUCAUUGGUGAAAUACCACUCUGGUCGUUUUGAACGUCUAACUCUGGUCCGUGAUCCGGAUCGGGGACAGUGUCUGGUGGGUAGUUUAACUGGGGCGGUUGCCUCCUAAAGAGUAACGGAGGCGCCCAAAGGUUCCCUCAGCCUGGUUGGCAAUCAGGUGUUGAGUGUAAGUGCACAAGGGAGCUUGACUGUGAGACUGACAGGUCGAGCAGGAGCGAAAGCUGGGACUAGUGAUCCGGCAUCGGCGUGUGGAAGCGGUGUCGCUCAACGGCUAAAAGGUACCCCGGGGAUAACAGGCUGAUCUUCCCCAAGAGUCCAUAUCGACGGGAUGGUUUGGCACCUCGAUGUCGGCUCGUCGCAUCCUGGGGCUGGAGUAGGUCCCAAGGGUUGGGCUGUUCGCCCAUUAAAGCGGUACGCGAGCUGGGUUUAGAACGUCGCGAGACAGUUCGGUCCCUAUCCGCUGCGCGCGCAGGAGACUUGAAGGGGGCUGUCCCUAGUACGAGAGGACCGGGACGGACGUACCUCUGGUGUGCCAGUUGUACCGCCAGGUGCACGGCUGGUUGGCUACGUUCGGAAGGGAUAACCGCUGAAAGCAUCUAAGCGGGAAGCUCGCCUUGAGAUGAGGUCUCCCACCCUGUGAGGGGGUAAGGCUCCCGGUAGAUCACCGGGUUGAUAGGCCGGAGGUGGAAGCACGGUAACGUGUGGAGCUGACCGGUACUAAUAGGCCGAGGACUUGAUC